GACAGAAACACUACUAAUAUGUCUAUUACUGCAAAAAUAUCAGUUUCAGUUAAAUGAUAGCAGUUUUUCUGCUAUCUCCCAAAACGUGUUUUUUAGGUAGAAAGUUAUCCACUGUAUUCAUAUAUAUAUAUAUAAGUCCUCAGAAUCAACUUAUGGAAGAUAUAGAUACAGUAAAAAUGUUCAAAGCCAUACUUUUUAUCACCAUUUUCUCUGCAAGCGUUUUGGCUCAGAGAGACUAUUAUCGAAGCUAUAAUGAUAUUGGUUGUGACAGGUGGACAGAAGAUACCGACAGUUGCCCAAACGUAUCCUGUCGAUUGGAGUUAACAUGUGAAAACAGGAAACUCAAUGGGGAAAAUUGUUUUUCGGAAUACUCCACUACUUGUGACAGAACUCUUUGUUUCUGUAAAGAGGGUUAUGCAAGAUAUGAAGGGAAAUGUAUAAAAUAUGAAGACUGUCCUUCGUCUGAAAGCAACUAAUUUCAUGAAAUUCAUGCGUAAAAUAAAAAUGAAGCUGUCAAUC